UUGGCAAGGGCUCAUUUGGAAGAGCAGGUGGCGUACAAGGUCGCGUCGAGGUCCAACGACCGGAGUAUCAGCUCCGUAGAGGACGCCGUCCCAGAUCGUCUUGCUUGCCUUGUCGUGAUAUCUUCUUGGCCAUGUGGGUUUGAUUGCCGCGGCAGGAUAAUUAAAGCCAAGUCUAAAGGCUCAGAAGCAGUUGAUCAUUACCUGUCACAGUAUACAAAACACAUAUCUAAUAUUGGGGAAAAUUCAGCUGAUAUGUUCAUAUGUGAAUCAUCCACCCAAUUAGCUAUAAUGCUUUCCAAGGCCAGUACCAUACCAACAUUGGAUCCAAAAGAGCAUGUGCCAAAUUGGACACAUACAUACGGUAUGAAAAUUUACGCAGAAGACAAGGACCCAUCACUCCAGAGUCUAGGAAAGUUGGGUAAAUGUAAUCUUUUUAUGGUACGU
rnacentral:rRNA from 1 species